UACAGAGGUCCCAAGCGUUGUUCGGAUUCACUGGGCGUAAAGGGUGCGUAGGCGGUCGGGUAAGUCUGAUGUGAAAUCUCACAGCUUAACUGUGAAACUGCAUUGGAUACUAUUCGGCUAGAGAGUUGGAGGGGGGACUGGAAUUCUUGGUGUAGCAGUGAAAUGCGUAGAUAUCAAGAGGAACACCAGUGGCGAAGGCGAGUCCCUGGACAACACCUGACACUGAGGCACGAAAGCUAGGGGAGCAAACAGG
rnacentral:rRNA from 1 species